AGGGAGAAGGAAAAAACCUCUGAAGAUUACAUCAGGGCAUUCGCGUCACACACCGCUCAUCAUCCACACUUUGUAACAAAUUCUAAUAGAAGAAGUACUCAGACAAGGGAGAAGGAAAAAAAACUCUGAAGGUUACAUCAGGGCAUUCGGGUCACACACCGCUCAUCAUCCACACUUUGUAACAAAUUCUAAUAGAAGAAGUGACUCAGACAAGGCUGCAGAUCGGUGAUACAGAUGGAGCAGGCGAGAGGGAUCCACC